AUUUGCAACCCCAAACAAAUCACCAAAGAAGAAACUGAUGUAUCGACUCACCAAUCGAAAGUUUCCCUAUGAAGAGAUAGACAUGCUCUAGGGAAUAACAUGAAGAAAACGUAGAAUCAGUAUAUAUAGGGAGUAACAUGAAGAAAAUGUAGAAACAGGUCCCCUGGAAAUGCGUAUGUUGAAGGCGAUGCAUCAAGUACGAGUUAUUUCCUAGCAGGCACAACAGUCAACGGUGGCACUGUCACAGUUGAAGGUUACAGCACAAGCAGUUUACAGUUGCUUCUCGUAAGGAACACAUAAAUUUGGAGCAAUGGCUGAACGAAAAUCGUAGCACAUACAAGGA